UCCCUUCGUCGCAACGGCACACGGCGGAGAGUCAACAAACAACGAUCAUUUCACUACGUAUCAUCGUACAUAACACUCGCGAACUGUAUCUGCGAUAGACACGCGGCGAGAUCAGAACUGGCCUGAUCCGUAUCCUCCGAAAUGCGCAGCGUAGUUGCGACGCCACCGCCUUCGCCGCUGCCGGCCCGUCGACUGCUUGUCACUGCUGGCUCGUCGUCGUCGUCGUCGCUCGUCACCCGUCGGCCGCCGAAAUACGCAUAUCGCGACGACUCCUCAUUGCACGUUUGUUGCACGUAUGUCCGAAUCGCUUUCGUCUCUUUUCGUCGCGGUAGUUACGUCCGCAAGAAACUCGAUUCUCAAUUCCGACACACGUGCGACAAUUGUGCGACGAGGGAGUCGUCGUCGCGAUAUGCAUAUUUCGGCGGCCGACGGGUGACGAGCGUCGACGGGCCAGCAGCCGACGGGACAGCAGUCGACGGCAGUCGACGGGCCGGCAGCGACGGUGGAGGUUGCGUCAUAACUACGCUACGCAAUUCGGUGGAUGCGGAUCGCUCCAGCUCCGAUCUCGCCGCGUGUCUAUCGCAGCUACAGUUCGCGAGUGUAAUGUACGAUGAUACGGAAGGAAAUGGUCGUGUGUUGACUCUCCGCCGUGUAUCGGGCGACGAAGGCGAAGGUUAGGUUACCGCGGGGAAGCGCCGUGUUUACUUCGCUACGUCGCCGCGUCGCCGCGUCGUUCGUUCGCUACGUACGUUCGGUCGUUUCGUGCCCGAUUCUCCUUACAUGUACAAUGUUUUCGUGUGCACCGUACUACAAUGCCGUAUAUUCGUACGAAAUAGCCGUCGCCCUGAGAUGGCUACUCGUGCGUUAGAUCUUUUUCACGCUAUCGACCAUAACCUCGCGCGAUCGUUACCUUUCGCUACGUGAUUAUAUCGCUUCGUCGGUAGUUCCGUUAAUAAAGUGUCGUGCGUUGCUGUGAUAAUUAGCACGCGAUCGUAAUUGAUCUUUCGUUGGCGAGAAUCGCGAGUUUUGUGUUGUGCUCUAUUGACGAGAUCUGGGAGGAGGCGGAGGCUCGGGAGGAGCAUCGAGCAACAGCGGAACAAUCCUGUGGGUUCUCCUUUGCAAGUGGACGGCGAUUGUUCGAUCGAUCUUGUUAUCGAAAAGAUAGCACAUUGCGAAAUGCACUCUGCGGAAGGAAGCAGAUAAGAAGAAUACCAUGGUUGCCGAUAAUAAUCGCGCGAAUGGCUUCGCACGCGGGGUAGGCGCAAUGGAGGCUGGUCGGGCAGAACGAGGGUGGUUCCAUUCGCCAUGACUAAGUGAUCGCGUCAAAACUGCUGCGUGCAACCCGGCGGCGACAAUGGUGCGAGUAAUGAAGGUAACCGCAGAAUUACACCCCGGACGAUAAUCGAGUUUCGUCUGUUGUUACGUGCCGCACAUCUCCGCACCGUCCGUCGUAUCGCUUCUCUCGUCGCCUGGUCACCAAAUUACGCUAGAAAUUCGCAAAACCGCUUCUUAAAUGCUUACGUAAACGCGAUACCUUUACUUCGCUUUGAUUGUGGUCACUGGUACCGAUUGUGGAAGGUAAUCAUUGUUAUUCAAUUACUUAACGAAAUUAUAAUAGAAAAAUAACAAAUAUUUUAUGCUUGAAAUAUUAUUUUGUAGAAGAGAAUUGCUAAAUGCGAACUGUUUAAAUUAUUGUUUAUUACAUUUCUCAUUAGAUAUUGAUUUAUAUGCAAAUGAACGUGGAAAAUUAUAGCUCGUCAUUUCAAGCAUGUAUUAUUACUUUAUUUUAUAACUUUUCAUUAAUAAUGAAUUAAUUUAUAAAAAGCUAUUUUUUUGCAAUAUUUUACAAAAGGUGCGAUUGGCAACCUGUAGCCUAAUUCGUACCUGUGGAUCUCUUAAAUCGUAUCGUAUCACCUUUGAAACUAUGGUGUUCGUGAAUUAAAAUAAUUAAAAAUAAAAGGAAUUAUUAAUAUUUAUUUUAUAUUAAUAAUUUUUUUGAAAAAAGUAUUAAUUAUUUAAUAAUUAAUAAGC